UGGGGAAUCUUGCACAAUGGGCGCAAGCCUGAUGCAGCCAUGCCGCGUGUAUGAAGAAGGCCUUCGGGUUGUAAAGUACUUUCAGCGGGGAGGAAGGGAGUAAAGUUAAUACCUUUGCUCAUUGACGUUACCCGCAGAAGAAGCACCGGCAAACUCCGUGCCAGCAGCCGCGGUAAUACGGAGGGUGCAAGCGUUAAUCGGAAUUACUGGGCGUAAAGCGCACGCAGGCGGUUUGUUAAGUCAGAAGUGAAAUCCCCGGGCUCAACCUGGGAACUGCAUCUGAUACUGGCAAGCUUGAGUCUCGGAGAGGGGGGUGGAAUUCCAGGUGUAGCGGUGAAAUGCGUAGAGAUCUGGAGGAAUACCGGUGGCGAAGGCGGCCCCCUGGACGAAGACUGACGCUCAGGUGCGAAAGCGUGGGGAGCAAACAGG
rnacentral:rRNA from 1 species